CCUACGGGGGGCAGCAGUGGGGAAUAUUGGACAAUGGGCGAAAGCCUGAUCCAGCCAUGCCGCGUGUGUGAAGAAGGCCUUCGGGUUGUAAAGCACUUUCAGUGGGGAAGAAAGCCUUGGGGCUAAUACCCUCGAGGAAGGACAUCACCCACAGAAGAAGCACCGGCUAACUCCGUGCCAGCAGCCGCGGUAAUACGGAGGGUGCGAGCGUUAAUCGGAAUUACUGGGCGUAAAGCGCGCGUAGGCGGUCUGAUAAGCCGGUUGUGAAAGCCCCGGGCUCAACCUGGGAACGGCAUCCGGAACUGUCAGGCUAGAGGGCAGGAGAGGAAGGUAGAAUUCCCGGUGUAGCGGUGAAAUGCGUAGAGAUCGGGAGGAAUGCCAGUGGCGAAGGCGGCCUUCUGGACUGACACUGACGCUGAGGUGCGAAAGCGUGGGUAGCAAACAGGAUUAGAUACCCUUGUAUC
rnacentral:rRNA from 1 species